UUCUGUGAUACACUCCGACUCGGGCUCUGGAGCAGUCAGUGCAUGACAGAACUUGGGCCCGGACGGACC
rnacentral:pre_miRNA from 1 species